rnacentral:misc_RNA from 1 species
GCCUCGGUCUGGUCUUGCACUGCCGACGCGGUCGCCGGGGCCGCCUCACGCGAAGGAGAGGGCAGGCUGGUGGAUGCAAGGUCGCGCCGGGCGGCGGAGGUGUGCGGCCUGGUGGAGGGGACUUGGGUUGGGGCAGGAUCGGAGGAUUGGAGCUUGGAGAGAUUCCUCUUCCGACUUGCGUUGCGAGCGGCGACCGGCGACCGGCGAGAGGGCGGUCGUGAGCAGGCAGGAGAAAUUCUCUACUCGCGUGUUCGUCUCUCAAUGAAAGUGGGCCGCACGUUCAAUGGGCCCGCAAAUGUAAGUGAGAGAGUUUUUGUGGCCGGUUGAUCGGCGGAUACGGA